AACGUUGGUGGAAAAACACUGUUCAUUAACAGUGCCGUUCCUGUUUUGUCCCUCAUCUAACGCACGGUUUUCAGCCUUUUAAAAGAUGCUACAGAAAUUGUCGAUUUUGCCCCUCUGUGCAAUGAGCCUACAUACGGAAAGGUGCUCGAACCUUCUCUCAUUUUCUUCCGUUGCUUUUUCCUUUCGCCUGCUCUCUGUUUUUCUGCUUUUCUCCCUGUUCGAUCUUCGUGUUUCCUUGCUUCUCUGUUUGUGUUCAUCGUCUGCCGUCUGAAAAGGUGGUUUUUCUGACUGAUCGCGGUGUUUCAGGCUAUGUUGGAGCAAAAACUGUGCAGGCAAAGACAUAAGAGUGAUGGAUUUUGGAAUGAAAUGCAGAGGAUAUCCUUUUGCGCCGCUUAAAGAAGAGCUCAACAUGGGGGUGCAAGAGAGCUAUUGGUACAGUAAAGAAAGGAAAAGUUGUACGCCACUACAGCACUACGCUGGGUGCUAGCCAACAUGAUAACAAUAACAAUAUAAAAAUGAUUAAGAUAGUGAAGGAAUGGUGAGGAUUGGAAGGCAGAUGAGUGUACAAGUGAGAGGAAGAUUGAAGAAGAAAGCAGUAAAAUGCAGUUGGGCCCUUAAUGCACUCCUAAAGAAUAGAUUGAGAAGUUUAAGGAUGUUGAGAGUUUGAGAAAUGCUGGAGAUUAAUUUCAAUUUGAAAAAAUCUCUGCUGCAUCUCGGUUCCUACAGUAAUUUCAGCUGCUGAAGUAGCUUUCAGCUGUCAAGGUUACUAGCAAUUGAGUGUGUUUGUGUAAGUGCUUUUUGCUUUUGUAAAAUUGUGUGAAAGAUUAUAUUUCUUCCUUUUGUUUGAUAAUUGUCUGGUUGCUGUCAAUACUAUGGCUUUAAAUUGUAUAUGGAAUCAUUAUUUUCACAUAUUUCUUUGCUUAAGUUAUAAUCUAGAGCUACUUUUACGUUA